GCUAUGUUAGUUUAUAUUUAGAAUGUGUAACUUGUAAUUACAGGGAUUAAAUUAGUA
rnacentral:tRNA from 1 species